ACUGCACCCCUCCCCAGACGAGAAAGACGUGGAACGUCCGCUCUUCCUGCAGGGAGUAGGGGAAAGGGUGGCCCACAGCGGGUACGGUAGAAGACUAUUUUCCAGCCACAGGGGCAGGGGCGUUCCAGCGGAGCCAAUGCAGGCGCAAGUUUGGGAGAAAUAAGACGCGGAGAGGGUGGAAGGUUUGUAGCAUCACCGGAAAUCAGAGUGAACAGGUUUUCCAGCCGAAUGGUGUGAAGGGCAGCCAAACGGAAGAUUCAUUCCCCGGUUAAGGUGUGCUGCAGCGGGACUAAGCAUGUUAUGCCGUGUGAAGGUACAAGUUUACAAAAGAGAUUUGCGUUUCUGACUGACUAUAGAACCCCUUUAAAGCGCAAAAAGCUUUGUUAUGCUUGAAAUAUUUCGUACAAAACUACAGACUUUAGUAUACUAUCCGGUAAAUAAUGGAGGUUGAAGGCAUGUCGUUUGAAUUAAUAAACGAGAAGUUAUCUACAACA